AAACAUUAUGCUGUCUAGAAUGAAGAAAAAUGCAGUGAAGAGACCCCUGAUGUAAUGAGUUUUCAGAAUUACAGAGACAAAGAUGCAUAUCAGGAAGAUGACAGAAAUGGAUGGGAUAAUAUCACCACACAGUUGCAGGCAUCAUUUUAUAGUACAGACAAUUGACGUAUUUUCGGGAGAAAGAAUGAACGUGGCAUACGGCAUACCAAAAAUGAUCACUGAGGAGGUGAAGGCCACCACCAGGUCAGAAAAACAGGUAAAAUUCAGUGCCUUUGGUAAAGAUGUGGACACUAUUAUAGAUGCAACUAUGAUACAUGCCUUUUGCUUACAAAGCAAAUACGUAGCCAUCUCUUCUCGACAGUGGUUUCUCACUAUACCUUCAUAAACGAGAAGGAUAUGAUGAUCACUGGACGCAUCGUAGAUACUUCCCAGAAAGCUUCUUGCCAACAGAAAUCAACUUGGAGGCCCAUUUUAAUUUAAUUAUCCCUCCAACCUGCACCAACUUAGUUCCCGUGUUUAAAAAAAAAGAAAGAAAGAAAGAAAGGCAUCGUUCGCAAUGUUGCCUUCGCAUAGUCUUCAGUACAAGCCCCGAAGAAGUUUCUCUGAGUGUUGUCUGUAGGAGGCUGAAAAUGGCCAUGUAGUGGGUGGGGGAGGGAAUGUGAGAGAGGGCUUUUGUUUAACUGCUUGUGGAACAGAAUGGAUCCUCCCCUAACUUUCCACACCCAGCAAAGCUACACACGAAGAUGUCUUAAGCCAAAUGACAGCUCUCACUUGCACAAACAGAAAACUGACCUUCGUGGACUCUCCAGCCUCCCUCAGUACUCCUCGUACUAGGAUGACCAAGGAGAACCAGAUGGGGUUGACCAGUCCGGUAAAAAGUCCCCGAGUUCUAGGGAUAGAAGAGACAGUUGCUUCCCCCCCCUCCCCUUUCUGUACUCUUACUUCUAUCAUUUACUUCAAGUCUAUUUAAAAUAUUUCUCCUCGUUGCUUAGCAACAUCUUAUUAGCUAACCAUUAUCACAUUUUCCUUUAAGUGACUUUUCGCAGCUCCACUGAGCUAACCCCUGACUACCGUAGCAGCGUGGGGCAGGGAUGUGCACAUAAUCCUGAUAAAUAUUUGAUAUAUUAAUUCAUAAGGAGUAUAUAUUACACAUUCAACCACACUUACUGAAUAUCUACUCUUUGACAAACACGGAACCAGUGACAGGAGACAGAUGGAUGGAUAAGACCCACUUUGUAUCAUCAAGGACCUCCCAGAAUUGAUCAAAAGUUUGGGGCUUGGUGUGUGAAUUGCAGAGUUGUUAAGGAUCUUGGGACUUCCAGAAGGGACAAUAAUAAACUUAUAUAUUCUGGGGAUAAUAUUUUUUAG
rnacentral:lncRNA from 1 species